rnacentral:rRNA from 1 species
AUGGCCGUUCGGCCGGCAUGGCGGCCGGUGCAUUGGCGAGCGGAGGCGUUUCGAUGGUGGAGCGUGAAUGCCAGGAGAGAUCCCCUGCUCGGCUUCGGUUGGGCUGACGGUGGCGGCGUCCGUGUGCGUCGUCUCCUUCCUGAAGACGUCGUCGUGGCUACUCUCCCCCUUCGGAUGGUCCAGGUGAAAACCAUGAUCCUUUGGAUCUGGCGGCGACGGCGCUCUGGUGUCGUUCCCCUUCUUGAAGGUGCCGUCUUGGAGGCCUACUUUCGCCGAGCUCAGUUUCGUGGCUGUUCCUUUACCUGUUGUAUCUGGCCUUGGGUGUCUUGUGUGGUGUGGUGUUGA